rnacentral:lncRNA from 1 species
AAAAAGAGUGAUCCGGUGGAGCUGUACCAGCCGUUACGCAAGUUGGUAGCUACAAAAUUCUCAGAGAGCGAUGCAGAGAAAGUUGAAAGCGUUCUGGAAACCCUAAACAAAUGUCGCAGUGACAUGGUGGAGCGAGGGGACCUCUCCCUUCCCAUGCAACGUGAUUGCCUCAUCCACUACUUCAAAUGCCUCUGCAUGGUUGAGCCACUCUUCACCGCUGACUCCGACGACUCCGACGGCAUCAUGUUUUUCUGGUACGACGCCUUCGACCCUGACUAUAUAUGUGUGGAUGGAGUCUCCUCCCAUAAGAGUAUCCAAUUGGAGAAGGCUGCUGUUCUCUACAACCUUGGCGCCAUAUACAGCCAGAUUGGAGCCUCUUGCGACCGCACCACCGCCCUUGGCCGUCACCUUGCAAUGGAUGCCUUCAAUGCCGCCGCCAAAUUCUUCUCGGAACUCUGGAAGGGUUUCGCCAAGGACAUCUCCGCCACCUUCGACUUGACUCUCCUCUUCACCGAGACGCUGCACCAGCUCUUCUCCGCUCAGGCUUCCGAGCUCAAAUUACAGCAACAACUCGACGACGACAAAAGCAACAACGACGCCAGUUCCGCUUUCCAAAAACAUCGAUGUGCCCAUUUGUUUAAAUCGGUCUGUCUUGACUCUUAACACUUACUGAUUUUGCAUUUAUUUUUUCACUUUGGAUUUUCAAUAGGAUGAUGUUGAUGAUGAAUUGAUGAUAAUGAUAUGACGUAGGUUUCUAAGCAUUAUGGGAGAGCAUAUGAUCUGAUACUAAGUGAUCCGGCUGCAACCAAACAUGUCUGCUUAUUUGACGAAACUUGGAUACCUCAUCUUCAUCAGAAGCAGAAAUUCUUUCGGGAAGAGGCUCGUCAGAGGAAAUCAUUCAUCCUACCGAAAGCCAAGCGACCCAAAACAUCCUCAUUGGUCCAAUCUUGUCAUCUUGAUCAUGAUGCAGAAUCCAUCACGGAAAAAUUAGUUAGAGGGAUUUGCAGCAACUCGGACCUGUGGACACCCAAGCAGCAACUAAUAUACCUUGACCUCCUCCUCUCCGAGAACAGCCCUUUCAAGAUUAUGGAUGGUGGAAAGCUGCUGGCUAACCCAUGGGACAUGCCUCCUCCUUAUCCAACAAAUUUUGCAGUCCUCUCUUCUUCGUCUUCGUCUUCGUCACGUCUUAUGGCAUUCCCUUUGAAGAAAUGUGAGCCCUUGAACCUCUACGAGUCCCUGCGCAAUUACUUUGUCCUCAAAUACUCUGAGAGCGAGGCAAACAGAGUAGAAGGCCUUUUCAAAAUGGUAGACGAAUUGUGCAGUGGAAUGCAGCGUGAUGACCUCUCUCUAUCUGGUCGCCGCGACUGCCUCAUCCUCUAUUUGAAAUGCCUUUGCAUGAUUGAGCCUUUGUUUCCCAUGACUAACUCACCCAAUCCACCUAUCUUUGUUUGGUACAAUGCAUUCAACCCACAAGAAGACUCUUCUCAGCACAACAUCCAUUUUGAGAAGGCCUCUGUUCUCUUCAACCUGGCAGCCCUCUCCAAACAAGUUGCUCUCUCCUGCGAUCUCACCACCAUCCAAGGCCAUCUCCUUGCCAAGGACGCCUUCAAUGAUGCUUCGCAUUGGUUUUUGAAACAGUCACAUGAGGCUGAGAAGGCAUCUGCCACCAUUGAAUUGUCAGUAAACUGUGCCAAGGUGCUGCGUCAGAUAAUAUACUGGAAUUUUCCUCAUUCCUGUUCUGUUCGAUCAUCAUCAUCUCCGGUAGGCGAUAAUAUGAACUAGCACAUGAAUCUAAAUUUAGUUCUUAAAAUUUCAAUUGUCUCUAUUUAAUUUCCAAACUUUACUAAGGAACUCAUGUUAGUCCUUGAAACAAUUUUGCUGUCUGACUUAGUUGUAAUUAGAGCUUUUGGCUUAAUUAUGCCAGGCUUUGCUCUAGUAACCAUAGGAUGCUGAUUUCUUGGUAAGGGAUUAGUAGAAGUAGGGGGAAGGGGAGUUGUGUUUCAAUUCUAGAAUUUGGAAUAGAAUUUGGAGACACUGAACUAGAUGUGGCCUCAGAAGAUAUGUCAGUAGUGUUAGUAUUGAAAUGAAGGUAUGAGGCAGUGUGUGAGGCUUCAUCAGAAUUAAUUGUAGAGUGAGGGUUAUUGGAGACUAAAUCUCUAUUAAUAAAAGGCAUAGAGUUAGUAAAAGAGGGAUAAGUGACAUAUUCAUGAACAUUUUGUUGAGAUAUUUGAGUUAGCAUUAGUGCAAAAUUUAGGAACGUUUUGAUAAAAAAAACAAUUGAUAAAUCAUCAUUAGAAGAUGUAUUAGGUAAAGAAAAUAAAGUAAUAAAGGAGAAAAUAUGUUCAUCAAAAAGCACAUUUCUAGAUAUAUAAACUUUACCAAAAGGGGAUAAGCACUUAUAUCCCUUAUAAUUUUGCCCAUAACCAAUAAAAAUGCAUUGAUGUGAUCUAUAAUUGAACUUAUUUUUGUUAUAUGGUCUCAAGUGUGGAUAACAGAAACUACCAAAGACCUUCAAAUGAUUAUAAUCUGGAGGUUGAUUAAACAAAUUCUCAAACGGUGACUUACCAUCCAAGAUAGUUGUAGGCAGUCUAUUAAUCAGAAAAGCUGAAGUUAAAACAGCCUCAUUCUAGUAAAUUAGAGGCAUUUUAGCAGUAGAAAGCAUAGCUAGAGCCAUUUCUGUGAGGUGGCAAUGCUUUCUCUUAGCCCUGCCAUUCUGUUCAUGAACAUAUGGGCAAGAGAAUCUAUGCUCUAUGCCAUGUUGUUGUAAAAAAGAUGUAAAAGCAUUUGAUAGGUAUUCCUUUCUAUUAUCUGCAAGUACUUCAUAGUAUAUCUUGUAAGGUUCUUAAUAUAUGCUUUAUAUUGCACAAAAGCGUGAAAAACUUCAGAUUUGGUAAGGUUUGGGGACUACAUAAAAGGAAUUGAAACUUCAUGAACUAAAUUAAUUCUAUCCUGUAUAUAUCAUCAUCUAGCUCUUCAGCUGAUUAUUUUAAUUGAUAUUAAUCUUGAUUUGUUAAAUUGUGUGAUUGGGAUGACGCAGGCUCCUUUGCUUUAUCAGAAAGCUUAUGAUAUGUCGACACUUGAGCCUUUAGCUGAGAAUCUUGUUCAUUCCUCGAUACCUCAAUAUCUGAAGAUGAAAACCUGCCCUGUUGUAACUGAUCCUGGUGAUAUCACUCAACAAUUUCUUUCAGGGUAUGGUAAGGCUAAAUCCCUGCUUGUAGGGGAAUGUCAACCACCAUGCUUGGACCUUCUCUCGGAGAUCAGCCCGGUCAACAUUAAGGAUGGGAAUCUUGUGGCCAAUGCAACCUUAGAGGCAGUAAGGUUGGCAUUGAAGGAGAUGAACUUGCAGGAGUCCAAACCACCACAAUAACAUUACCAUAGAGAAAAACUAUGUAAGCUUUAGGAAUCAACUUUUUUUUUUUUUCUUUUAAACUAAAUAAGCUUUAGGAACUAAUUACUCUUGUUCAAAACUAUUCCUUCAAAAUUUAUUGUUUCUAUCUACACAAUUUUUAUGAUGUACUGCAAGGUCCAUUGAUGAGUUCUGCUUUGUUCACUGCGGUUUUCUUACUUAACCAGGUUGAAGGUUCACUAAUCAUUUUGUAUUGUUGGUAAACUAUUCAUGAUUAAAUUAGUUUGAUGUCAUCUGGUAUAAAUUUCUUUUCUGAUGAUAUGUGUUUCUAUAAUAACUUAGAUAAUCCCAAAUUCAAAGUAAUAAAACAAAAAAAUAAUGAAUUUCUUCUCUGGUAUUGAAUAAUAAACAGUCACAUGAGGCUGAGAAGGCAUCUGCCUCUUCUAAUUUUUUGGGCUUCACCACUUUGUAUUUUGUAAAAACUUUGCCUGUGUCAACAUUUUUUCUAUGAAGGAGAUGAUGAUCAUGAGAUUAAUAAUGAUAUUGAUGUUACGUGGGAUCAAGAUUAUUCAUCCUGCUUUGUUCAAACCAUUUUUUUUUUUUUUGCUUUAAUUCAUUUCAGAAAAUUGUUCGGUUCAUAGUUUAGUCUUUAUGUAUAAUUGACAUGAGUUUCUUUCUUUUGUUGGCUUUUCAUUAGAAUAGUUAUUAACUACAUAUUUUCUUCUUUUACUCUUAUUAUUUAUUAUGUUUGUAAAGACUUACAUUUUAAGUUUUAACUUUUAACACAUGUUUUUAAUUUUAUUUAUAUAAUUUUAUAUAUUUUUUAAUUAUGAUCUUAACUAACGCUACUUUCCUGCCUGUGAUACUACACAGUCCUAACAACCAGAAAGCAUUUCAAAUUCAAGAUAAACAAUACUGACGUAAAUAACAAUACUGCCUAUUAUUAUUAGCUCUACGUUAAAACUCAAAUUUAGUUUACUAACAAAUGACCCAUGUUUUUUAUUAAUCUAAUAAAAGAAAAAUAUAUAUUCCAAAAUUUGCUUAUUGUUUUAGAUUUGAAAUUUGAAAUAAUCACAUACAUAGUGGUUCCAAUUUUCAUCGAUUUUCAACUUCCUGAUCAUAAACUGAAUCGCCGUCACCAUGGCCAAAAGCAACGACAUCACCAUGGCCACGAGCAAGGAGGAUGUGGGAUUGCUGAACCCGAACCCGAACCCGGACAAGAUGCUAUCAAUCCCACUGAAGAAGAGUGAUCCGGUGGAGCUGUACCAGCCGUUACGCAAGUUGGUAGCAACAAAAUACUCAGAGAGCGAUGCAGAGAAAGUUGAAAGCGUUCUGGAAACCCUAAACAAAUGUCGCAGUGACAUGGUGGAGCGAGGGGACCUCUCCCUUCCCAUGCAACGUGAUUGCCUCAUCCACUACUUCAAAUGCCUCUGCAUGGUUGAGCCACUCUUCACCGCUGACUCCGACGACUCCGACGGCAUCAUGUUUUUCUGGUACGACGCCUUCGACCCUGACUAUAUAUGU